GACGAACGCGGCGGCGUGCCUAAUACAUGCAAGUAGAACGCUGAAGGAGGAGCUCGCUCUUCUGGAUGAGUUGCGAACGGGUGAGUAACGCGUAGGUAACCUGCCUGGUAGCGGGGGAUAACUAUUGGAAACGAUAGCUAAUACCGCAUAACAUUGACUAUUGCAUGAUAGUCCUAUUAAAAGGGCAAAUGCACCACUACCAGAUGGACCUGCGUUGUAUUAGCUAGUUGGUGGGGUAACGGCUCACCAAGGCGACGAUACAUAGCCGACCUGAGAGGGUGAUCGGCCACACUGGGACUUGAGACACGGCCCAGACUCCUACGGGAGGCAGCAGUAGGGAAUCUUCGGCAAUGGACGGAAGUCUGACCGAGCAACGCCGCGUGAGUGAAGAAGGUUUUCGGAUCGUAAAGCUCUGUUGUAAGAGAAGAAACGAGUGUGAGAAGUGGAAAG
rnacentral:rRNA from 1 species